GGUAUUCCCACCAAGGAUGAUGUCAUCCCAGUGCCCAGACACUGGGAUCCAGAAAACUUAAUUACAAAUGGGCACAUCAGGCAACUGUGUAAUAAGAACUGGAUUCCAGUGUCACGCACUGGAAUGACACCACAUACCACCUGCAAAUU
rfam:Wolbachia endosymbiont of Glossina morsitans morsitans contig_0200, whole genome shotgun sequence.